rnacentral:lncRNA from 1 species
AGUCAGUCAGCCGGCGUUAGGGAAAGGAGGUGUGGUGGGAAUUGUAAUGUUCAUCUUCUUGGUGCUGAUGGUAUCAGUAGAUGCUUUCUGUUGCUACACCAACCACUGCGGCCUGCUUAAUUUCCUCGCUCGUAAACUAUUUGGACACAAAGUGUCAGAGUCUAAAGGGAUGGAUGAAGAGGCCAAUAAUUCCACUGGAGACAUGAAGCUGAGCGGGCUAACACUACCACGAGGCAGCAUCCCAAAGCUUCAGUCAUCCAAUGGGGCAGUGAAUGGCAUUCAUUCAGAGGUCACGUGUGACAAAGUGCCUCUUACCAAAUUCGAGAAGAAACCAGAAUCUGGUGAUCCAGCAGCAGAGGCCUAGAGGAAGAUAUUAUACAGGACACAAUGCUAUGAAAACAUUGAUUUGUUUGUUUGAACCUCUUGAAUGGCCCAACAUGGCUCAACCAAUAGCGUGAGUUUUGAGGCGAGACAAUCUAUUUGUCCGACCAGUGACAGAUGGGGGAGUGUUUGAGAAACCUGUUUGAAAGAUGUAAAACUUCAUAAAUUAUAUACUUCACAUUUAAGUGAUGCAGUUUGGAACAAAUAUACAAACAUCAUAAAGGACUACGUUCAAAACGUUCAAGUCCUGUGUGAUUUAGAUUAUGUUUGUUAUUAAAUUGUGAUUGUACCAAAUGUAUGAUGUAGAGGAGUAUUAUGAGUGUGAUCCAGCACUGUAAAUACUGUACAUGACAAAUGCUGCUUGAGCUGAAUGUACAUUCAGUAGUGAGCAGAUAAAAGCAAAAUGCAGCUAAGUAGAAUAUGAUGUUGACAUGUUAAAGUAUAUUACUGACAUAAUGGGAGCAUAAUAUCAUAGCUUAAUAACAUCACUAAUGUUAAUUUAUUGCACAUCUAACAUAUGCUUGUGGCUUGUAUAAAAUCUUGAUUAAAGGAACAGG